CCAGGGUGGAAAACAUGUCAGCUUCCCAAAACAGCUAAAUAUAAAUCUCACUGCACUGAGAGACGAUUGUACCAGCAGAAUUAUCAGGAGGCAUCUAGCACACGUUAUCCAGACACAGACCCUUUGCCAGUUACAUGUGAUUCAAGGUCUUCAUCCUGCCCCCAGUGAAGUCAGACAAAAGGAGCAGUGAACCAAUGGAAAGCACAACAGGACUCAGGAAACCAGGAAGAAAUGAAAACUUAUGCAGAAUGAGAAACAACAGACUGAAGAAAGAGGAUGGAUGGUGGCCUAGAGCAUGGCUGAGAAAAGGAGAAUGGUUUGGAUGACAAGAUGUUCUGCAGCCACACGAGUUUGCAUCUUCUGAACUGAAAUUUGGCUUCAGCGUGGCAGUUCUUCCCUUCCAUGCUCCAGUCCAGACACCCUUAGCUGCUCCAUUAGCUCUUUGCUCCCUGCUCACCUUUGGAUGUUCCAGUGCAAUACUUUUUUCUCCCAUGCAUCCCAAACACUUUCUCCUGCAUACAUACAAUUACCAGCCAGUAUUCACGCCAGGCCUCUGCUACACUGUCACUAGAAUUUCUGUUUGUGAUCCAGAUCCAAGAAGAAACAAUUCUACCAAAUGUUCAUUCUUGAUGCAGAAACAUCAAUUUGUGAAGACUUACCGAAGCGCCAUCAUUAUGAGAGAAGCUCUAAAGCAUUGAUUCUCAACCAGGGUGACACAAGAUCCUUCUAGGCAUGCUGUGCAAUAUUAGCACGGCUAGGUGUGCAAACACCUAUACAUGGCUCACAAAGAUAAACCCAGACAUUUCAAAUAGGAAUCCAAAAAGGACCUGUUGUUCUUUGCACCAUAAGUACUGUUCUAUUAUUUUCCAUAGUAAAAAAAUUAAUGAAUGAUUAAGAGAGGUCAUUUUCCAAGGUGUCUUGAGUCAAAUAAGGUUGAGAACCACUGCUCUAAAGAUCAUCAGGACCACAAUUCAACAACAUGGUCCAAGAUAUUCAAUUACUACUUUCAGCCAUAAGAAGAAUUCUGUACUGGAAAAGCAAGUUUCUUCAGCAGCCAUGGUGAAAAGGUGUUUGACUGCCACCUGCAGUUUGUUGCAAAUUAAUGCAUUCAAACUAAGAUUAAAGCAACCCUAAUUAAUGUCCUGGUUACUAUAUUUUCAAAGUACUGGAGAAGUCCAGGAACAUACUCUCUCCUGAAUCAUUAGGUUUAAACAAAUGUCACUUGAAUACUAUAUUUGGGAAUCAAAAGCAUUUAAAAAAUUUUACCGUUAAAAAUAUACAUGCAUAUAGCCAACUAGUCAGUGGCAGCAUCCUAAUGAAGCGCCUUCUCUGAUACUGGAUUAUACAAGA